rnacentral:rRNA from 1 species
CCUACGGGGGGCAGCAGUGGGGGAUAUUGCACAAUGGGGGAAACCCUGAUGCAGCGACGCCGCGUGGGUGAAGAAGCGCCUCGGCGCGUAAAGCCCUGUCAGCAGGGAAGAAAAUGACGGUACCUGAGUAAGAAGCCCCGGCUAACUACGUGCCAGCAGCCGCGGUAAUACGUAGGGGGCAAGCGUUAUCCGGAUUUACUGGGUGUAAAGGGAGCGUAGACGGCCAGACAAGUCUGAAGUGAAAAUCCAGCGCUUAACGUUGGAAGUGCUUUGGAAACUGCCGGGCUAGAGUGCAGGAGGGGCAG